GUCCAUUAAAAUAAAAAUAAGAGAAUAUGGCGCUGCGUGCACGAUCGAGCUCAACGUUCUUCAGGCAGCGUAAAAAUAUAACAGUUCUAUAAAGCGUGUUUCCAGCUUAGCACUCUGCCAUUCAGCGGUCUGUCUGUUUGUCUCUCUCUUCCUUGGCCAGUGCGAGAAUCCAUAGAUCUGGCAUCGUUUUCACGGAUCGAAUGUCGCUUUCACGCUCUCACUCUUUUUUCUGGGAGUCGAAUCAGAAGUUAGGGCUUUCAACGAAAUCAGAUCGCAUUAAGGUCGUUCAGAAGUUAAUGAGAGAUAUGCAUGUGAAUAUAUUAGAAGAUGAAAUCGUUUGAAGGUAGAGAGUGGCUGCAGAUGAUAAAGCUGUUGUGUCGAGACAUGCGUGGAACUUGUUUGCAUAGAAGGUUACAUACGGGUCGCAUGGGUGUUGAACAUGGAGAAAUAGAGAAGCCGUCACAAAACCAAUAUUUUACCCUAACGUUUUUGGAUUUUCCAUUUCCUCAGGAGAGUGCUUGGGGCGGGGGGAGGGGUGGAUGAAGUGGUUUUUGAAACAUAAUGUGGUAAAUGGUUCUAUAUCUGUUUGGCGGGAUAUGUGGUAGCCUUUUGGUCCUCUUUACCAUAAAUUUGGACAUGAAUUCUAUAUGUGGAGUUACAAAGCUAGCUGUUCAAAGUUGAAGAAACUAAUGAUUUAGAGCAUUUUACUGGGUUUUCUUCCCAGAAUGGGAAAUACGCUUCCAUUGAUGGUUGGGAUGUAUGGAUUAAGGCCUUGGUCUUGGUGGUAUGCUCCCUACAGGUCUAAGGUUUGAAUCUUCUUUGGUGCAAAAAAUUUCUAGGGGUCAUCGGACUUGGGAAACUCCCCUUGAAUUAUCCGAGGGCACUUGUGAGAAACUUCUUGCCAAGAGCCUAUGCACCUCUGGAAUUAGUUGAAACUUUAUUCUUGGACACCCAGUGCCAAUAAAAAAAAUAUUUGGGUUGUAAUUGAAGAUGAGAUCACUUGUAUCAUAUGUUGGAAGCUUAUUUUAUUACCUUCCUGGAAUGGGAAAAUACCCACUAGUAUUUGGGAGGCAGAUAGGCACAGGAUGCCUCAUGUCUCAUGUUAGAAGCUUAUUCCUAUUCUGGUGCUGUAUCAAAGAGACCCAUAUAUGUGCUGGAUUGUUAUAAAGACUUGGCUCUUGGCCCUACCACUACCAAUGAUGGAUUAGCUAAUUGGGGUUAUAUCAUAUCAUGUACUUUUUGUAGAAUUAGGCUGCAGAGAAGAGGUUAGUUCUUUUAUGAAUUUUCUUUGCAGGAGAAUUUGGAUGGAAGUGCAUGGUUGCUUGAUAGAUUAGAAGCUGCGGUGAAGAUUUGAAUUGGGAUGUCAAUGCUUUGAAGGAUGUUGGCUUCUAGAAUCCGCUGGCCAUGUCAGCAGGGUUGGAUAGACAGUACAGCCGGGGCAUGAGGGCCAAAAUAGCCACCCCACAAGGGGACGGGGGGUGGGGAGGGUGGUUACUUGCUCACAUAGGGCGGGUAGCACCCCUACUUAGCAUGUUCAAGAAUGAAUGGAUGAUUUUGCAAUAGAAGCAACAUGAUCUAGUCCCCUACCGGACAGAUGAGAUGCGAUUUCUGUUGUCAUUUCCAUGGUUUCACAAUCGAGAGGACGACGACGAGUGCAAUAACCAAGAGCAAUAUGAUGGCAAUCAUCAUGCACUUUCUUGACUUCCUCUGCAAAGUCUUUGCAGAUUGGAGAGCUUCUGUACCCGAUCGCAGAUGGUCCACUGUAUUUGUCACCUGUUGAGAAUAGUAGCAGCAAUCGUUGGAUUGAUUUACAAUAUAACAACUACCAUGCAGCGUUAUCAAGAAAUCGAGGAUUUUGAAGUUAUAUAAUGAUUGAAAAAUAGGAUUCCUGUACCCCCAACGGUUCAAAAAGAGAACAGACACUUAAAAAAGAGUGAAAAGCAUGCUAUAAACAUAAAAGAGAGGAGAAUAGCAGUAUAGAUGAAGCAUCUUGAAUCACAAUAUUAGUCCUAUGUCAUAAUCGGCAACGGAAAGCUCCUAUACAGCUUGCAAUUAUACUUUGGUGUGGUGUAAAUCCCUGCAGAAGUGGCUAUCGACCUAGGUCCAUGCCCUCUUCCCCAGUUGCUCGUGGGUUCUUGAUACGAGAAUGCACGGCAGUCAAAAGUUAUUGUUCCAACCAUCUUCAUUUGCUGCGUUCGGCUCUCAAAACGAAUAGUUUUAGGUUUAGAAAAGAGAGGCUAAUUAACUUAAUUUUUAUCUUUUAUACAUUAUAUGUACAAACAGUGAGAUGAAUGUUCGAGUGAGACAAAACAAAAUGUCGGAAAAGAUCUUGGAACGGUAAA